rnacentral:lncRNA from 1 species
GGAGUCCACAGCUGCUGAAUCUGAAGGGCCAUCAGAAGACUGGCUUCUCCAUGAUGGUUUAUGGACUAAGGCAAAGAUGAGCAGAGCCAUGGCCCUCUUCUUUGUUCUCUGCUGGAUCCAAGGUAUAUUGCUGUGGCAGCUGGAGAGAAACAUGGGCCUCACUUCAAGCCUAAGUGGGGCAGAGGAGGGCGUUCCCUCCCACAGUGUGGGGAACACAGAUGCUUUACCUACUCUACCUUCUAUACCUCCCCAAAUCUGCCAUUCAGGGUUUAUUACUUGGGGGAAGGGAGUAACUGAAAACAUUUUCCUAACUUUGAAGCUUUCUCAAAAUUCAGAGCUCUAUAGGAGGGUGGCAUACAUGCGUAUUUUAACUUUUCACUGUAAGCAUUUCCAAACAUAUGCAAAAGUAGAAAGAUUAGUAUAAAGAACCACCAUAUGCUAACUAACCCUCCUGAUUUUAUCUAUAUAUAUGCACUAUUUAAAAAAUAACAGGGUUAGGCCGGGUACAGUGGCUCACUCUUGUAACUCCAGCACUUUAGGAGGCCAAGGCAGGAGGAUUCCUUGAGCUCAGGAGUUUGUGACAGGCCUAGGCAACAUCAUGAGAGCCUGUCUGUAUAAAAAAUUUUAAAAUUAGCCAUGCAUGGUGAUGCGUGCGUGUGGUCCCAGCUACUAGGGAGGCUGAGGUGGGAUGAUCACUUGAGCCCAAAAAGUCGAGGCUGCAGUAAGCCGUGAUCACACCACUGCACUCAAGCUUGGGCAACAGAGUGGGAUCCUGUCUCAAAAAAAAAAAAUUAGUAAUAACUUUAUAGGAUAUAAUAUAUAAUAAAAUUCACCCUUUAUUUUAUUUUUCUAUUUAUUGUUAUUAUUUUUGAGAUAGGUUCUCCCUCUGUCACCCAGAGCUGGAGUGCGGUGGCAUAAUCACAGCUAAUUGCAGCCUCAACAUUCCAGGCCCAAGGAUCCUCCCUUCAGCCUUCCAGGUAGCUGGGACCACAGGCAUGUACCACCACACCCAGCUAAUUUUUUAAAUUUCUGUAGAAAUAGGGAUCUCACUAUGUUGCCCAGGCUGGUCUCAAACUCCUGGGCUCAAGUGAUCCUCCUACCUUGGCCUCCCAAAGUGCUGGAAUUACAGGCAUGAACCACUAUGUCUGGCCAAAUUUACCCUUUACAAAGUAUAUAAUUCAGUGGUUUUUAGUAUACUCAUAGAGUUGUGAAGCAUCACUAUCUAAUUUUAUUUAAUUUUUAAUUUUUUAAUUUUUUGAGAUGGAGUGUCGCUCUCUCACCCAGGCUGGAGUGCAGUGGCGCUAUCUUGGCUCACUGCAACAUCUGCUUCCCAGGUUCAAGUGAUUAUCCUGCCUCAGCCUCCCAAGUUGCUGGGAUUACAGGCGUGUGCCACCACGCCUGGCUAAUUUACUAAACUAAUAAAUUACUAAAUUAGUAAGUUACUAGUAAAUUAGUAAUUACUAAAAUAUAAUUUUUAGUAGAGAUGGGAUUUCAUCAUGUUGGCCAGGCUGGUCAUGAACUCCUGACCUCAAUGGAUCCUCCUGCCUCAGCUUCCUGAGUAGCUGGGACCACAGGUGCACACCACCACGCCCAGGUAAUUAAUUUUUAUUUUUUGUAGAGUCGGGGGUCUCCCUAUGUUUCCCAGGCUGGCCUCGAACUCCUGACCUCAAGUGAUCCUCCCACCUCAGCCUCCCCGAGUGCUGGGAUUAAAGACGUGAGCCACGGCACCUGGCCUGAAUUUUCCUCAAAUUCAAAAAAUCCUGAUGAAGGUUUGGCUAAAAUCUUUGGUGAGUUACCCCACUCCCUGUGGAACCUCAGGCUGGAUUUGAAGAGUUGCGUGCAUGGUCCUCAUUGUCUCCCAGGUAACCUGUUCCCGCUGCUGUGAAGGGAAGGCAGGUGCUCUUCCUUGAGGCUAGAAUCUGUCUACGUGUCACAGUCUCAGGAAAUUAAGCAAAACAGAUGAUAAACACCUCAAAAGGACCCUACUGAGCAUCAGUGGAGCAGAGCAGGGCCAUGUGGGACUGCGGCGUCAGAUGCCACCUCACACUAGCUGUGACACACCUGCCUCGCCAGUUUCUGCUCUGAGGCCCCAAAGCCGAGCUGAACCUCCUCCAGGGGUUCUCAGCCCUAACUGAGCAUGAAAACCCCUGGGGCAAUCCUCUUUUUAACAAUUGAGACAUUCCACACACACCCCACAUCAGAUUUUGGGGUGUGGGGAUAGACCUUCACAUUUGUAGUUUUCUAACCCUCCAGGGGACACUAGGCUGAGACUCAUUGGUCUCCACUCUGAACCUUCCACUGAACAUGUGAGAAAAACUAAGGCCCAGGGAAGUCUUUAGCAGAGAGCUGAGACGGAGAAAAGGGUUCUGAACCACAGCUGUCUGCUGAAGGAAGCUGUCCAAAGGCCAGUGAAGUCUCUCCUGAGGGUGCCUGGGCUGUGCAUCAGGAGUGAAGGUUGAGGGUCACCUUAGGUGUGAGAAGGAGCAACUGGGAGAGUGGCGCUGAUGCUUCCCCCCGGGUUAGGAGGCAUUUGGAUCACAGAGCGAUGCCUGUUCAUUCCUGCUUGCAAGGGAGCAGAUCUCUCGACACCCGAUGGGCCUCUAUUCCGUUCCGGCAGCUGUCCGUGUCAGGAGCGCUGGGCUUGCUCCUCCCCACGGGAGCCAUCACAGAGGCCUCGGGCAGUCUGCAUAGACAACUGCCUGGCAGGUGACCAGGAGGGGAUGCAUGAGCAGAUGCAGGUAGCACUCGCAGUCCCCCUAGCUGUGCCCUCAGCACCUGCUGUCUAGGAGGCAGAAGCCUUGUUCUCGGCCUUGCAGGUGACCCCAGUGUCUCUGAAUUCGGCCCCAUAUGUGUAGGAGGGGAGUGAUUGCAUCUGAAGAUGGGAGUCUGGUUGGGGGUUUGGGAAGCUCCCAUCACCCCUCAAGAGUCCACUGACCAGCCCAGCUCACACCAGGUGGGCCUUGGCACUGGAGGCCACGGCUCAACUCUGCAGUUCCCUCUGGGCAGCAUUUCCAGGGACUCGUAGGUCAGCAUGGUCAUCAAGGACAGGUGGUGAGAGCAGCUCCUCAUUGUCCUGGUGACCCCGAUGGUUCAUUUUCUGGUGUCUCUGUGGUGAGCUCCUGUUACAUCAAGCGAGUGGAAACCACCGAGGACCAACAGCCCUGGAAAUGCACUGAGAAUGCAGGAUGAGUGGGCUUUGUGAGGACUGUUUUCUGUGACUUAGCAAGGAAAGCCUGGAAGGGAAAGUAAAACUGCUUCUUCCCAGGGAAGCCAGAAACCUGAGAACUUAAAAGGGAAGGAGAACUUAAUAUAUUUCAAAAAUGUAACCCUUGUGAAUUAGCAACAGCUUUAUAAACAAAGAGAUUUCCGAGCUUAUAGAAUCUAUUCUGCUUUGUUUCUGCCCCCAUGGCUCCUACCCCUGUUUUUGUGGGUACAAUUUUCAUAUAGAACAUUUUUACACAAGCUUCAAAACUCUCUGAGGACAGCUUUCCCCUUUGUGUCUGUCGGGUCCCAGGCAGUCACAUCCCAGGAAGUGCUGGGGUUGGGCUCCUUGCUCCACAUCCUUCUUCAGUGGCACGAAGCGUGGGGUGGAGUGUGUGAGUCAUGUGUGAUCUUGGUGUGGGCUAUGGCUGGUCUGCAGCACCCCUUCAAUGACUGCUUCAAGGGCUUUUCAUGAUGCUUGUAGCUCAUGAGCUAGUGUUUCCUAGAUGCUGUUUCCAGGUGUCUUGCAUGUCACACACUGGCCUACCAGGGCUGGAGUGAGAUCAUGAGCGCCAGAUUGUUGGUGAAGGAAGUUGACAGAGACAUCGAAUGUCGGUGAACAGGAGUGACCUUGGGUCUCAAUAAAUACUGUGGUCAACUGAAUCCAGAACCCACCCUUACCAGCAGGGCCCACUUCUUCCCCAGCAGGCCGAGCUCUUCCCCUCCUGUCUUCCCUGGCCCUUGCUUUGUAGCUCUGUGUGGCUGUGUCAUGUCUGGUUGUAUCUGUAUAUACUUCUGCCUCUCCCGCUAUCUAGAUGGCUCGGGGAGGCACACCACACACCAGGUCACCUUCCUCUCUGAACCCCCAGCACCUCAUACUGUUUCUGUGCAGAGAUAAGGCUGGGUGAAAGCUUGUGUGAAUGAUCUGAAGUCUUCUACUCUAGGCCAGUCUCCAGGAGCAUUAUGAUCUUUAGGAGGGUGGGCUUGGUUCCUCUGUACAAUAAUGGGUCAUAAAACUGAGUGGUCAAGAUCAUCCCGGUGAGGGCAGUCCGUGUGUUGCCAUAGUUGCUGUACCGGUUAAGAAUGCACCUGGCUGCAAUUUCCUGAAAACCUGACGUAUAGUGGCUUAAACAAAGAGUGGUUUAUUUUCCUUCUGUCAUAGCAAUCUGGGGGAGGCCACUGUGGCUUUGGCGCAGGAGGUCGGGAAAGGCCCGCUUCUCUGAUAUCAUUGGGGGCCUCCCCAGUGCUUGUGUGGCAGAAUGACAAGAGGAAGAAGAAGGAGAAUUAUGGCACUGAGUAUCAUGAGAUUUGGGGUCAUAUAUCUUUAGUGGGCGGUGUUUGCUGCCCCAAAUGUCUCAUGCCAUUAAAAUGUUCUGGAAAUGAUUUAGGUAGUUGGAGUUUCCUUCCCAAAGACAAGGCAUUUACAGCAUGAUGUCCAAUAUCCAUUGAGUUUGUGUCAUGCAUUCAUUGUAUUCAUAGUCUGCUUUAGGUACUUAGCAAAAUAUUGCUGAUAUUAACAUGCCUUUGUUUGCUUCACUGGAGAUGAAAUUGUGCUCCAAGUGUUUUCCAAGGUUCCGUAUGACCCAUCAUUUGAUGAAACAAGAACAGCAGUCAGAUCCAUUACAAAGAGAGACACACAAAAAAACUAUGUGAAAAUGAGCUUAGCCCCUGGUGUUGUGUUGGAACUUCAGAUGCUUGCAGACACUUCAUGAAUGCUCUGUGACACUCAGAAUAGGCUAUUCCCAACAGAAGAGCUUGAACAAUGCUGCAUUUGCAUCAGGUUCAAAUGAGCGAGAGGAACAUUUGGCUAAAAUAUUUGGAACCAGCAUUGCUUGGAAUUCUCCUAAACCAGAAUAUUUCCUUGGCAGUGUGGACAAAAUUCCUGAUAAAGAUCACCUUUCAGAGGAGAAGAAUUUUAAAGAAUCCUGUCUGUUCGACAGGGAUUUAAGAGAGCAGUUAACUACUAUAGAUAAAGAAACACUUCAAGGAGCAGCUAAACCAGAUGCUCACUUUAGGACUAUGCCCUGCGGGCAGCUUCUGCACUUCCUGCAGAGGAACACCAUCAUCGCCGCCGUCUCAGGGGUGGCCAUCCUCAUGGCCAUCGUGCUGUUGCUGCUUGGGUUGGCCUCAUACAUCAGGAAGAAACAGCCAUCGUGCGUGGUGCUGGCAUAACCUUCCUUCCAAGAACCCGCGGGUGUUAGAACUCACGCUGCCCUCAGGGCUUCCUGCUGAUCUGGUUUACGAGGAGGGCAGAAGCUGCAAGCCUGGUUGUGCUUCAGCAUCCCCUGGCCUGCUCUGUCAAAGCACACAGGACCUGGGCCAUGGGUUUUCGGCACAGCCUGGGUGAUUCUGAUGCACAGCCGGGUUUGGGGAUCCCUGGGUGGGCCAGGGUUGCCUCUCAAGGCCACUACGGUUAGGCCAGACCUGUCCCCAUAUUGAGGGCUCUGGCUGAAAGAUUGGUAAAUAGGAAUAUGGAUUUACAAAAGAAAGGAAAAAUACAAAUCUAAGAGGGUGAGGAGGGCUGAAGCCACGAAGGAGAGUGAGAGCAGGGCUGAUAUUCAGCUCCUUCACAUUGGCACAGCUGUCCUGCUUGUUAGAAUACUGAAAGCCUUCCCCGAGCUUCCCACUGACCUCCUGAUCUUCUCCGUGAUCCUGCAAAUGAAGGAUUAGUGCCUGGCACAGCCGUGGCCCUCCAAGGCUCUGCUUCAGUGGUGGUCAUUUUGACUGGUCAGUGCCUGUCUACACCCCCGUCUACACCAGUUGUUAAAUAUUUUGGUUAGGCCUCUAGAUGAGGGGGCUCAGGCACAGAGGCACUCACCAUGAGCAGGCGCUAGGAAGCAAAUGGUUUGCACGAUGACGUGUAUGCAUAGCUGCAUUUUGAAAUUACGUGCUUCUUGCUGCGUCCCCAGGGACAUGUAUUCCUGACCACAGAAGGAAGAGCAGCUCCCCACAGCCCUUCAGUCCUGCCUGACACUGCACUGAAUGCUCAGCUUGCCCCUAGAGCAAUGGGGUGGAGGUGUGUGUUGAGGGGAAGUGUCCAUCCCCACCCCUACCCACCCUCUGACUCCAGAGGUAGCAGUGUUUGAAUUUCCCCACAAGAGUGGCAUUGCUUUCUCUCCAUGCCAAGGCUCCUGGAACUGGUGACUUAUUCAGGCCACCUCCCCCAACCCCCACCUCCAGCAUCCUCUUCCUACCAAGGCUCAUCCAUUGGACCUGCCAUUUUCCCUCCAUGCCCCUUGAGAUGCCAGCAGAAGUGGUCAGAACUGUGGCCCCUCCCAUAGGGACCAGUCAAAGUUGUGGGUGGCCUGAGUUAGUUAAGAGAAACUGGGGGGAAGAGAGUAUCCCAGAGGCUCUGUGCUGCCCAGAGGCAAAAAGAAUUUCACAGAUGACAAACCUUACUGAUGGGAAGCAGAAUCCUCACGCUGGGAAGCGUCAGCCUCCACCACUGCCCAGCGAGUAGACAGCAGGACUCCUGUGCGCUGAGCUGAGCACUGUGGUUUUUGUUAUUUUGUUUUAGAUCUCCUCUGGCAAACACGACAUAUAAUAUUUUUAUAAUGGAUGGAAAGACAUGGUGGCACAAUUCUGAAGAAAAAAAUUUCACAAAACUUGCAAAAAAACAGAAACAGUUGAAGAGCAGCUCCUGUGUCUAAGCCAGGUCGUGGGGCCGUCAAACCAGGACUUGAAACCACAAUGCGAGGACAUUCUCCAUCUGCGCACCACAGGGAGGCAAUUCCAUUUCUGCCCGGGAGGUGUAUUCUACAAAAACGUCUGCUUCCCAUCCCAAUUUGAAUGGACCAAGAAAAACUGCUUUACCAUAGGACACUUGUGGCAAUAUGGCACCGAUGGCUGGCGUCGGUGAACCCGACAGACUAUGGAUUUAUCAUUUAAUAAAGCAUUGAUUCAUUUUUUCAGUCAUUCAUUGAACAGAUAUUAAUAGACCACCUCACAUGCUGACAAUAUCAAAAUACAAUGAGGAAACUAACAGUGACCCAGGCAUGCAUUCUUCCCCGAGCAAGAUCACAGUCCAUGGUGUGAGCACAACCAUACUAAAUAGCUUUUAUGGGAGGUGGGAGUACAGAAAGUAUUAUAUCUGCAAAGAAACUGCUAAGAAUUGUGGGAGCGCCCCAGGAGGUGAUUUCCUGCUUGCGUGACCAGCACAAAGAAAUGGGGUAAUUGAGAGUGUCAUGAAGUGGGGUUAUUUAUUUAUUGAGUCGGAGUCUUGCUCUGUCACCCAUGCUGGAGUGCAGUGGCGUGAUCUCAGCUCACUGCAACCUCCGCCUCCCGGGUUCAAGCGAUUCUCCUGCCUCAGCCUCCCGAGUAGCUGGGAUUAUAGGUGCGUGCCACCACACCCAGCUAAUUUUUGUAUUUUUAGUAGAGAUGGAGUUUCACCAUGUUGGCCAGGCUGCUCUCAAACUCCUGACCUCAGGUGAUCCCCCCGCCUUGGCCUCUCAAAGUGCUGGGAUUAUAGGCAUGAGCCACCAUGCCCGGCCCAUAGAAGUUUUCAGUUCAUUUAUGCACAGUUUAAGCUGAGAAUGUGAAAGGCUAAACUCAUCCCUUUCUUUCCCCACUUUCUCCAGCAACCAGCCAAUAUCAUACUCCUCAGUUUAAUUAAAAUGUUCUCAGAUAUCAUCAAACACGUGGGCACCCAGAACCUUGCCUUUUAUAUGUGUUUGAUUGAGAGUAUCCAAUGGUAAUAUUUUGUAUAUCUCUAUUGCCACAUCAUGCCAUGGAGUACCUAAAUGCCCUCUUGGCCACUGGAAAUAGAUUUAAGAUUCUGUUCCUCUCUUCUAGUACCAAAAUUUGGAUGAGUCAGGGUCCCAUGAGAGAAACAGAACUAGUAGGAGGAUAUAUAGAGUAGUAAGAGAUUUUUUUAACUUUUAAUUUUUGUGGGUACAUAGUAGGGGUAUGUAUUUAUGGGGUACACGAGAUAUUUUGAUACAGGCAUGCCAUGCAUAAUAAUCACGUGAGGGUGAAUGGAGUAUCCAAAACCUGGUGCAUUUAUCCUUCAUGUUAUAAACAAUCCAAUUAUGUUCUUUUAGUUAUUUUUAAGGUGCAAUUAAAUUACUAUUGACUGUGGUCCCCCUACUGUGCUAUCAAAUACUAGGUCUUAUUCAUUCUUUUAUUUUUUGUACCUAUUAACCAUCCUUACAUCUCCCCCACCCCCACUACUCUUCCCAGCCUCUGGUAACCACCCUUCUACUCUCUAUCUCCAUGAAUUCAAUUGUUUUAAUUCUUAGCUCUCAGAAAUGAUGAGCGCAUGCAAAGUUUGUCUUUCUGUGCCUGGCUUAUUUCACUCAACAUAAUGACUUCCAGUUCCAUCUAUGUUGGUGCAAAUGACCAUUUUUUGAAUGGCUGAAUAGUACUCCAUUGUGUAAAUGUACCACAUUUCCUCAUCCAUUCAUCUGUUGAUAGACUGUUGUUAGGUUGUUUCCAGAUCUUGGCUAUUGUGAAUAGUGCUGCAAUAAACAUGAGAGUGCAGAUAUCUCUUUUAUACACUGAUUUCCCUUCUUUUGAGUAUAUACACAGCAGUGGGAUUGCUGGAUUGUAUGGUAGCUCUAUUUUUAGUUUUUUGAGGAACCUCCAAACUGUUCUCCAUAGUGGUUGUACUAACGUACAUUCCAUACAUUAGCAAUAAUGUAUGAGAGUUCCCUUUUCUCCACAUCCUCGCCAGCACUUGUUAUUGCCUAUCUACUGGAUAUAAGGGACAAUUCUUCUCUAGAGCCUCUGAGGGGCCUGCAGCCCUGCUAACACCUCGGUUUCAGACUCUGGCC